CUAUCGCUAUGUGCCCGUGUGUGAUAAUACCUAUUUCUUUUCAUUUUCUUUUCAGCUUUUCACUUUCAGCUUUUCAGUUUUCACAUUCGGCUUUCGUGUUAUUUCGGUAUUCGGCUAAGUGCGAAGACCGACCACCUGAGCCUCGAGUACGUUGCGUUUAUUUGAUUAAUAAAUCAUGUCUACGUCUUCUUUUAUGUGCAAUAUAUGCAAAAAAGUUUUUGGUUACCAUCGUAAUUUAAUAGCACCUGAAAAAAUGUUAUUAAAUGUCUCAACAAUUUCAAGGAAUAGAAACAGAGAAAUUGAAAAAGAAAGUGUUUGGUCAUAUGUUUUAAAAUCAACUGCGGUCGUAUUAAAAAUGAAAAAAGAACUUAAUAUCAUCGUCAUUGAAGUGGUUUCUUUAAUAGUAAAUCAUGAGGGGUAAAGUUCAUUACAAGCCAAGGAAGUAAUAAGAUAGGUUCAACAUGCAAGUCUUCAAUGGUGUUGACAGAAGCUCAUGGAAUUAAUGUUGAUUAUAGUAUCACCUAUUUAAGGCAUGAGUCUAAUAUUUAGGUAGAUGUUUCCACGCUGCUGAAUACAUGUAAUUUCAGUUCCACUCAAAAUGUGCAUGUGGAAAAAUCUACUGUUGUGAUAGCUGUAAAUGAUACAUGUUGUGUAAGAGCCCCAGUAUUAAAUGAAAAUUCCCCAGUGAUUGUUGUUUGUGACAUUUUUCCAUGAUUCAACUCUCAGUGAGCAAGUUUGAACUAGCAAGAUCAGUCUGAUUGACCAGAUAGGUUAUUUUAAAUCUUGUUAAAUCUAUUAUGUGAAAAAAAUAUGUAUCUGAACAUUGAAAUGGUUAAUAUGUGUAAGAUUACUAUAGGUAUUCUGAAAACUUGGGUAAAAUACUUUUAAAAAGUAUUUAGAAUAAAUAUGCAAAUAACAUUACAAAAUAGUAUUUAGAAUAUGUUACCU